rnacentral:rRNA from 1 species
CGGGAUCCUUGGCUUUAGUGAGGCUGGUAUGACGGACAAACGAAAUUCCCACUGUAUCGUUAUUACCUCUAAAACUUAGACUCCAGGUGAAGAUACCUGGAUAAACUUGAAAGACAAGAAGACCCUAUAGAGUUUUAGUCCUUAAUCAACCCUUCUGAACCGGGACUUUGGUUGGGGCGACCAAGGAUCAAAUCUAACAUCCUGAAAAUUUUCGAUCCAUAAAUCUUAACAAUGACCCUGAAUCCAGAUCAUAAAAACAAACUACCUUAGGGAUAACAGGCUUAUCUUCCUAGAGAGUUCAAAUUGACAGGAAGGUUUGGCACCUCGAUGUUGGCUUAGGAA